UCCCUGGUGGUCAGUGGUUAGCACUUGGCACUUUCACUGCCAUGACCCAGGUUUAAACCCUGGUUAGGGAA
rnacentral:tRNA from 1 species